GCUAAUUCUAAAAGUACCAGAAUAGUUACUCUAGAUGCAUUAUCUCGUAGUUUACAAAGAAUUGAAAAUGUAUCUUUUUCAGAAGCCUGUUCUCUGGAAAAGAACACAAACAAGCUAAAACCUUUUAAUUUGUUCCCAGAGCUAGCACACCCACCCUAUUUGGGGAACAGGCUGAAGUUAGAAGAGCAUUCUAAACACUAAUGUCCAAAUGCAUUUUUGAUAAUAAGUGAUGAUUCAAAGCAGACCUAUCCAUUGGUAUUGAGAGAAACAGUGUCUCUUUUUAAAGGCACGUCCUGAGAUCUUGGAACCAAACCCCCAUGGAUAUCAAGAGGUGACCACAUACGAACUCAGGAGAGAUAUCAACGGUACAGAGGGUCAUUGAAGUCAUGAGUAUAAAAAUGGGGGACUGGAACUGGAGAACUGAGUCCUGAUGAAGACUUGAAAAUCAUACCCUGCUGAAGAUCAACUGCAACACAAUAAGAAACUGACCCUCAGGCAACCAAUGGAAACUCGUCAU
rnacentral:lncRNA from 1 species